rnacentral:rRNA from 1 species
UACGUAGGGUGCGAGCGUUAAUCGGAAUUACUGGGCGUAAAGUGUGCGCAGGCGGCCGAGCAAGUCGAGUGUGAAAGCCCCGAGCUUAACUUGGGAACUGCGCUCGAAACUACUUGGCUAGAGUGUGGCAGAGGGAGGUGGAAUUCCACGUGUAGCGGUGAAAUGCGUAGAGAUGUGGAGGAACACCGAUGGCGAAGGCAGCCCCCUGGGUUAACACUGACGCUCAGGCACGAAAGCGUGGGGAGCAAACAGG